rnacentral:rRNA from 1 species
AGCGAACGCUGGCGGCAGGCUUAACACAUGCAAGUCGAGCGGGCACUUUCGGGUGUCAGCGGCGGACGGGUGCGUAACGCGGGGGAACGUGCCCUCUGGUUCGGAAUAACUCAGGGAAACUUGAGCUAAUACCGGAUACGCCCUUUUGGGGAAAGGCUUGCUGCCGGAGGAUCGGCCCGCGUCUGAUUAGCUAGUUGGUGAGGUAACGGCUCACCAAGGCGACGAUCAGUAGCUGGUCUGAGAGGAUGAUCAGCCACACUGGGACUGAGACACGGCCCAGAAUCCUACGGGAGGCAGCAGUGGGGAAUAUUGGACAAUGGGCGCAAGCCUGAUCCAGCCAUGCCGCGUGAGUGAUCAAGGCCUUAGGGUUGUAAAGCUCUUUUAUCCGGGACGAUAAUGACGGUACCGGAGGAAUAAGCCCCGGCUAACUUCGUG